rnacentral:rRNA from 1 species
GUACACACCGCCCGUCACACCAUGGGAGUGGGGGAUACCAGAGGUAGGUAGGGUAACCGCAAGGAGCCCGCUUACCACGGUAUGCUUCAUGACUGGGAUGAAGUCGUAACAAGGUAGCCGUAGGUGAACCUGCAGAAGGAUCA